AGGAAAAUAUCCUGUAUGUGUUUCAAAUACAUUUAAUGUAACAACGUUGCACAUCAAUGAUGACCUCGCUGAAAUUAAGGAGUUCUUAAACAGUAUCCCAAAGCAAUGUUUAGCCGAUACUUCCGGUCAGAGUAUGACAUCGAUGUCCCAACUGUCUCAGACAUCUGGUAGCUCCCAACUAAGCUCGUACGAUAAAUUUAUGUAUAAGGCUUUGGUUCUCCCACUAAGUGAUGUUAAAAAGCUUACCGCUACCAAUCAAUGUGUCACCGUUGCUAAAAUCCUUCAAGUAAAAGCUUCUCAAGGAGGUUGGUAUUACCAAGCAUGCCAUGCUUGUCCAAGUAAAGCUAAAGGAAAUCAACCACCCUACGUUUGUAGUAACAAACACAAUACUGAAACUGAAAUU